rnacentral:lncRNA from 1 species
GUGAUAGGUAAGGAGUAGCACAGGGGAAUGACAUGGGGCAAAUUCAGGGCUGGGAUGGGACCCUACUCCUGCAAGGUUUUGGCGUACAGUGCCUUAGGACUCAGAGGGAGGAACUGGAUCAAAGCCUGAGGCUUCUCUCAGGACUGCACCUCAGACCCUCCCUCCUGAUGCCGGUGUCUAUUCAUCUCCUCACCAGCCCUGACCCACAUGCCGCACAUCCUCAUCCUGGGGACCUGGGAGUCUGGCAGCCCCAAGAACCUGACCUGUUCUGUACCCUGGGCCUGUGAGCAUGGCACAGACACACACACCCAUCUUCUCCUGGACAUCAGAUGCCGUCACCUCCCUGGACCCCAGGACCAAACUCUCCUCAGUUCUCACCUUCACCCCACAGCCUCAGGACCACAGCACCAACCUCACCUGUCAGGCAUUACAGAGAACCCAGAAAUCAUUGUCUGCUGAAGGGAUGGCACAGGGUCACCAGCAAGAGUCCGAACUAGACAGCCCCUCUGAUCCCACAAGCUCUGCCAGGACCACCUCCGUCUUGGAACUGCAUUAUCCCUCCCUCAGCUUUAACAGGAUGAAUCCUCAGGACACCACCUACAGGACACAGUGAGGAACCAACUGGAGCAUCAGUCUCAGCUGGAUCACCAGUAUCCCCUACAGGAAGGGGGACCCAAAGCCCGACCCUUGGAGACAUACCAAGAGAAAAUGGGUUUAUGAACUAUUGUAUGUGAGUCUCCUGCUACACCCGAACUCCAUUAGGUUUUGCAAUCAGAGAGACCUGGGAUCAAAUCCACGCUCUCUUAUUUUUUAAGACUAUGACAUCAGGCAAGCCA